GAUGAAGAACGCAGCGAAAUGCGAUAAGUAAUGUGAAUUCCAGAAUUCAGUGAAUCAUCGAAUCUUUGAACGCACAUUGCGCCCGCCAGUAUUCUGGCGGGCAUGCCUGUUCGAGCGUCAUUUUGACCAUCAAGCUCUGCUUGUGUUGGGGUCCUGCGGCUGCCCGCAGGCCCUGAAACCCAGUGGCGGGCUCGCUAGUCACACCGAGCGCAGUAGCACAUCUCGCUCAGGGCGUGCGGCGGGUUCUUGCCGUAAAACAACCCCCCCUUUUCACCAAGGUUGACCUCGGAUCAGGUAGGAAUACCCGCUGAACUUAAGCAUAUCAAUAAGCGGAGGA
rnacentral:misc_RNA from 1 species